ACUCUUAGUUUGGAAAACACUGCUCUAAAUUCUGUGCCUCUGGCUGUUUCUAGACUAACUUUCUUACAAUCUUUUAACUUUGAUCAUAAUGAAAACGUCGGAGACUAUGGAAUGAAUGUUCCGCUUAGACCUGGCAUGAUGAAUUAUCUGACAAACAUUUCUCUCCAAGACGACAGCUUGAAAACCUUCCCGAGUGCGCUCAAGGCUUUCAAUAAUCUGAAAUCUGUAUCCAUGGACGAAAACAUGCUAGAAUUCGUUAGUGACAAUGCGGCUGAGGCUGUUAGUCAAAUAGAAAAUCUAAGUAUGCGCAACUCAAGCAUUUCUCGUAUUCCACAAGCGUUGUCAAAUAUAACGUCUCUGAAAUCUCUCGAUCUAUCAGAUAACCGCAUCCAUAGUAUUGAUAUUGAAGAUGUCAGAAUCCUACAUUCUGUUAAAGAAAUCAAGCUCAACAAUAACCCUAUUCUUUAUAUUUCAAAUCAUGCCUUUGAUAGCACUAAAAAUUUGGAGCGGUUGGAACUGAAAAACACAAACUUGAAGCAAGUACCUUGCGCCUUGAAGUUUGCCAUCGAAAGCCUCACGCGAGUAAAGCACACGUUUCCUCUCACGGUUGACUUGUCAGAUAAUAAGAUCGAAUGCACUUGCGAACUAAAAUGGCUUUCUGAAACUCUCUAUGCGCACAGGAAUAACAUCCUCUGGACGGUACUUGGGAACUGUGAAACAAUAGUCUCAAGUAUAGAUAGCUAUCUGAAAUCAGUAACCCUUGGAGGCUGUCCGCCGUCAAAUAUUUGUAAUUCAUAAAUUAAACAGAACAUAUACGGUUACAUGUAUUUGAUAAUGAAUAAAAAAUGAAUUUCAUGUCAUUGUCUACUAGAAACUGAAUGGAAUUUAUUGCUGUAUAACACAUCCUAAUGAAUGGAUUGCAAUAUUAUCAAACAUUACAACUUUCAUUCAAAUUGUAUUUCACAUUUUUGUUCCAAUUAAAGAUAUACUUUUCAAGUAUCGGUGUUU
rnacentral:misc_RNA from 1 species